ensembl:lncRNA LINC01474 long intergenic non-protein coding RNA 1474
ACUCUCUCUCUCUCUCCGGCCACCAUGUGAAGAUAUGCGUGCUUCCCCUUCACCCUUCUGCCAUGAUUGUAAGUUUCCUGAGGCUUCCCCAGCCAUGCCUCCUGUACAGCCUGUGGAACUUCAGGACCUGGGAGAGAAAAAAGCUACCAGCAACAUUCAGACUGAGAGAGGCCAAAAUACUAAUUCAUAAUUAGCCUGGUACAUAUGAAGGAUCAAAAAGAACAGGACUGUAUGUCUGACCUCUGACAGGCCCUACCACCAUAGUAGAGACUCAGUAUGUAUACUUAAUGAAGGAAUAAUGAAUACAUCAGCAAGAGAAAUAAGAGUGACCAUAUGUUCCUUAAGAGAAGCAAAGAGCAGCUCCUGUUCCUGCUGGAAUGAGUCUCCAUUCCUUGCAACAGAAGUGUCCUAAGUUAUAGCCAGAGGACGGGGGCACAUUGACAAAACAUAAAGCGGAUAUGAUAAUAACAAGGUACCAUUCCAGCAAGAACAUCUGAAGAAAGAAGCAGUGUUGUUUAUCUUUCCUUCAUCUAUUCUGAAACUAAAAUCCUUAACCAAAUUUAUUUCCGAAGUUUAACCCUUUAAUAAACUGGCCUCUGACUCCACCUGGUGGAGAUACAUAAAUCUAUGAAAAUAAACCAAUCCAAAUGAAGAUUUUAAAGUCAUCAGCUCUCUUUCAUGUCUCAAAGAAAAAACACAUAUCCCGAAAUUCAAAUAGAUGACCUUCUCGGAUGUGUUAUAGGCACUCAGAAGCCCCAAAGAAAAAAUAGUUUGAGUUGAUCAUUUGACUGUUGCUCUCAGCCUUCAUUUCUGCCUUUCUAGGUUGUGUCAGGCAUUUUGACUGUCCAGGGGCCCUGCAUAUUCUAUUUUCCUAGUUACUUGCUAAGGUUUGAAUAUUUGUCCCCCUCCAAAACUCAUGUUGAAAUUUAAUCCCAAAUGUGGCAGUAUUGAGAGGUGGGGCUUUUCAGAGGUGAUUGGGUCAUGAGAGCUCUGUUCUCAUGAGUGGAUUAAUCCAUUCAUGGAUUAAUGGAAUAAUGGACUAAUGGAUUAAUGAGUUAUCAUAGGAGUGGGACUGGUGCCUUUAUAAUAAGAGGAAGAGAGACCUGAGCUAGCACACUCACCCUCUUCACCAUGUGAGGUCCUGUGCCACCAUGGGACUCUGCAGAGUCUCAUCAGCAAGAAGCCACUUACCAGAUGUGGCCCCUUGACCUUGGGCUUCUCAGCUUCCAUAACUGUAAGAAAUAAAUUUCUUUGUAACU